UACGUAGGGGGCUAGCGUUGUCCGGAAUCAUUGGGCGUAAAGCGCGUGUAGGCGGCCCGGUAAGUCCGCUGUGAAAGUCGGGGGGCUCAACCCUCGGAUGCCGGUGGAUACUGUCGGGCUCGAGUACGGAAGAGGCGAGUGGAAUCCUGGUGUAGCGGUGAAAUGCGCAGAUAUCAGGAGGAACACCAAUUGCGAAGGCAGCUCGCUGGGACGUUACUGACGCUGAGACGCGAAAGCGUGGGGGAGCAAACAGG
rnacentral:rRNA from 1 species